AAAGACUAAUCGAACCGUCUAGUAGCUGGUUCCCUCUGAAGUUUCCCUCAGGAUUGCUGGAGCUCGCGUGCGAGUUCUAUCGGGUAAAGCCAAUGAUUAGAGGCAUCGGGGGCGCAACGCCCUCGACCUAUUCUCAAACUUUAAAUAGGUAGGANNNNNNNNNNNNNNNNNNNCCGUCUAGUAGCUGGUUCCCUCCGAAGUUUCCCUCAGGAUAGCUGGAGCUCGCGUGCGAGUUCUAUCGGGUAAAGCCAAUGAUUAGAGGCAUCGGGGGCACAACGCCCUCGACCUAUUCUCAAACAUUAAAUAGGUAGGAUGGCGCGGCUGCUUUGUUGAGCCACGCCACAAAAUCAAGAGCUCCAAGUGGGCAAUUUUUGGUAAGCAGAACUGGCGAUGCGGGAUGAACCGGAAGCCGGU
rnacentral:lncRNA from 1 species